CCUACGGGAGACAGCAGUGAGGAAUAUUGCUCAAUGGCCGAGAGGCUGAUCCAGCGAAGUCGCGUGAGGGAAGACGGCCCUACGGGUUGUAAACCUUUUUUGUCGGGGAGCAAAUCGAGUCACGUGUGACUCAUUGAGAGUACCCGAAGAUAAAGCAUCGGCAAACUCCGUGCCAUCAGCCGCGGUAAUACGGAGGUUGCGAGCGUAAUCCGGAUUUAUUGGGUUAAACGGGUGGGAAGGCGGAGGUGCAAGUCAGCGGUAAAAUCGCGGGGCUAAACCCCGUACUGCCGUUGAAACUGCAUGCCUUGAGUGCGCGAGAGGUAGGCGGAAUGCGUGGUGUAGCGGUGAAAUGCAUAGAUAUCAGGCAGAACUCCGAUUGCGAAGGCAGCAUACCGGCGCGCAACUGACGCUCAGGCACGAAAGCGUGGGUAUCGAACAGGAUUAGAUACCCCAGUAGUC
rnacentral:rRNA from 1 species